GACGAACGCUGGCGGCGUGCUUAACACAUGCAAGUCGAACGGAAAGGCCCUGCUUUUGUGGGGUGCUCGAGUGGCGAACGGGUGAGUAACACGUGAGUAACCUGCCCUUGACUUUGGGAUAACUUCAGGAAACUGGGGCUAAUACCGGAUAGCAGCUCCUGCUGCAUGGUGGGGGUUGGAAAGUUUCGGCGGUUGGGGAUGGACUCGCGGCUUAUCAGCUUGUUGGUGGGGUAGUGGCUUACCAAGGCCUUGACGGGUAGCCGGCCUGAGAGGGUGACCGGCCACAUUGGGACUGAGAUACGGCCCAGACUCCUACGGGAGGCAGCAGUGGGGAAUAUUGCACAAUGGGCGGAGGCCUGAUGAAGCAACGCCGCGUGCGGGAUGACGGCCUUCGGGUUGUAAACCGCUUUAGCCUGUGACGAAGCGUGAGUGACGGUAAUGGGUAAAGAAGCACCGGCUAACUACGUG
rnacentral:rRNA from 1 species